rnacentral:tRNA from 1 species
CGGCGAGUAGCGCAGCUUGGUAGCGCAACUGGUAUGGGACCAGUGGGUCGGAGGUUCGAAUCCUCUCUCGCCGACCA